AUUUCUUCUAUCUUUGUGUUCUGAGUUCAAAUGCUGCUAGGGUCGACUUUGCUUUCCAUCCUUUCAGGAUCUAUAAAAUAGAUACCAGUGGAACACUGGAGUCGAUGUAAUUGACUUAUUCCUCCACUAAAAUUGCUGGCCUUGUGCCAAAAUUUGAAACCACUAUUUAAUUGGUACUUUAUUUCAUCAACCCUGGGAAGGGAAAUUUAACUUCAGCAGGAUUCAAACUCAGAACCUAAAGGAAUCUGUUUCAUUCACUGCUCUUAUAAGUUCUACCAAUCCAUCAUCAUUUUGUUCACUGCUUUACCAACCCACUACCAUUGUGUUCACUGUUCUACCAAUUUGCCACCAUUUUGUUCGCUGCUCUACCAAUUCAAACUGCACACCAGCAUUUUGUUCACUACCAAUUCUACCAACCCCAUUGUGUUCACUGCUCUACCAACCCACUACCAAUUUGUUCACUGCUCAACCAACCCGCUACCAAUUUGUUCAUUGCUCUACCAAACCUCUACCAAUUUGUUCACUGUUCUACCAGUUCUACCAGCCUCAUUGUCUGUAUGUGAUUUAUUUAAUAUUGCUUUACAUUAUGGAGACAUUCUUGUAUCAUAAGAUUUUAUAGGUUUCCACUGCCAAUAUCACUAUUUCAUCAUCAUCAUCAUCAUCAUCACAAUUGUCAUCAUUAUCAUCAUCAUAACUGUCUUCAUCAUCAAUAUUAUUUACCAUCACUACCACCACCAUCAUCAUCACAAUUGUCAUCAUUAUCAUCAUCAUAAUUGUCUUCAUCAUCAUUAUCAUUUACCACCACUACUACCACCACCACCAUCAUCAUCAUCAUCAUUGUACAUGCAGUUGUUGUUGUCUUUAAUAUGUGAUCAGCAAAGAUUAAAUUCUCGAAUGAUCAAAACCCAUUUGUUAAAUCAAUAAAAACACAAAUGAAUAGAAUUUGGUAAUCCUGCCCCUUUAGAUUUUAUAUUAUGUCCCUUGAGUAAAUGAAGAUUUUCAAUUUACUUGUGGUAGCAACCACAGCUCCCACAAGUCACACCCUAACAUCCUAAACAAUAGAAUGACACGUUGAAUAAUGUAAUCCUACAUUUAUUGUCUGAUAAAAGAUGGGAUGAGUUUAGGGUUUAGAGGAAGGAAGCACCCAUGGCCCUUUUCAGAGGUUGAAAGCAGUAUGUUAUCUUUGGGGCUGUGUCGUGGCAGCAAAGAAUACUGUUCUGUUGUUCUAAAGAUACCUGAGAGACAGGGCAAAGGAUUAAGUCCACCAGCCAAGAUAAUAGGUCUGCUUGAUCAAAGCUUGCCUAGGGUUAAACAACAAUGCCAACAACAUUAGUUUGUAUUACAAUCAAGUUAUAAUGUUCUACAAAUAAUACGAAUUGUUAAGAUGGAAGAAAAUGUUUUAUGACAUGAGGAAGAAGAGAAACUUAAUGUUUUGGACAUUUGUCCUGCUUCGGUGAGAGGGAAAAAUCUCUCUCUCUCUCUCUCUUUCUAUCUCCCUCUCUUUCUCUCCCUCACUCUCUCUUUCUCCUCACUUCUCUUUCCCCUUCUCUCCCCCUCUCUCACCUUCAGUCUUAUUUAUAUAUGCACUCUCCCUCUUUCUCUUUCUUUAACCCUUUCGUUACCAACCCGGCUGAAACCACUUCUGGCUCUGAGUACAAAUGUCUUGUUUUCAAAAGUUCUCAGUUAAAAUCUUCCACCAAACCUUAGUCACAAAUACUAGCUUAAUGAUAAGUUAUUUUACUAAAUUCUUUGUUAUAUUUAAAAUGAACCGAAAGAAGCACAGAGUAUCUCAAAAUAAAUACAGUAACGAAAGGGUUAAAUAAGGGCUAGAGUUUGGUCUUUUCACUAAAACUAUUAAUGAGAAAAUGAAAGAAGCUAAGAAGAAGUGGCUUAAAGGAAUGGUGCGUCAACUUUGGAGAGAAUUUCUUUAAUCCUGAGAUUAUCUUCCGUUCUCAAGUGAAGCUGGUCUUAAUUGUCAUUUAGUAAUUACAAUACAUCUUCUGGAGGCAGAGAUAGCUGUAAUAAAUGAGGAAUUUAUGUUUUACAGUAUCUGAUACACCUGUAUUUGUAUUGGUGAAAAACAUGCCACUGGGCACUUUCAGUUACUUCCCUUGGAUCAUUUUGUUUAAGUUAUAUAUAUAUAUAUCUUUUAUCUUGUAUCUUUUAUUUGUUUCAGUCAUUAGACUGCGGCCAUGCUGGAGCACUGCCUUGACGAAUUUUUAGUUGAAGGAAUCAACCCCAGGACUUAUUUGUUUUUAAGCCUGGUACUUAUUCUAUCAGUCUCUUUUGUUGAACCGCUAAGUUGCAAGGAUGUAAACACACCAACACUGGUUAUCAAGCCACGGUGGGGGACAAAAACAGACACAAAGACAUGCAUACACACACACACACAUAUCAUUGCUAUUAGGUCAAACUGUUGUAUGUCCAAAUUUGACCAAAUGCAUUUUUUUUUUUAUAUAUUUAUUUUUGCUUGCAAUAGCCAAUUGUUUUGGUCAAACUAUUGUAUCUCCAGAUGCUUCAGAUGCCAAGAUAUCAAAAAUUGCUAAAGUGUAGUACAACAGUUUUGCUAUGGAAUGGUGAAACUACUUUUUCAUUUUCUGAAAAAGCAAUGUUUUGGACUUACAGCACUUUUGCAUAAUAGUAACGAUAUAUAUAUAUAUAUAUAUAUAUAUAUAUAUAUAUAUAUAUAUAUAUAUAUAUAUAUAUAUAUAUAUAUAUAUAUAUAUAUAUAUAUAUAUAUAUAUAUAUAUAGGCGCAAUGGCCCAGUGGUUAGGGCAGCGGACUUGCGGUCGGAGUAUCGCGGUUUCGAUUCCCAGACCAGGCGUUGUGUGUGUUUAUUGAGCGAAAAACACCUAAAAGCUCCACGAGGCUCCGGCAGGGGAUGGUGGUGAUCCCUGCUGUACUCUUUCACCACUCUAAAGGCGGUGCUCCAGCAUGGCCGCAGUCGAAUGACUGAAACAAGUACAAAAAAAAAAAAAAAAAAAAAAAAAAAAUAUAUAUAUAUAUACACACAGCAGGUUUCUUUCAGUUUCCAUCUACCAAAUCCACUCACAAGGUUUUGGUUAACCUAAGGUAUAGAAGACACUUGCCCAAGGUGCCAUGCAAUGGGACAGAACCUGGAACUAUGUGGUUGAGAAGCAAAUUUCUUACCACACAGCCACACCUUAUAUAUACAUGCAGGGAGAAAGAAAUAUGUAUAAGUGUGUGUGGAUGUACUUUCAGUUCUGUAGAAAGUGCACCUGUUCACUUUUUCUAUUUUCAACUCUUUAUCCCCCCCCCCACCCCCCGCUCGCCUCUCAUCAUUCUCUCCAUUUCUGGCCACUCCUCGUAAUUCCAAUUCCUCACUCUUCACCAAUUCUUUAAACACAAUUUUCUCCUACACCUGCCAGCUCAUUUCCUGUCUCUCCUCAUUCCAUUAGCCACAUGCAACCAGGUUACCAUCUAUACACCCCUAUUGUCCCUUACCUCCUCUCCUUUGUCCACCCUUUUUCUCAAAUUUCCUACCCUUCCUGCAUGGCCCUAACAAUUCCACUGAACAACCCUUCCACCCACAUCUUGACACCACCACACUACACCACCUCCUACACCAUCCACCCCACCCCCACUAACAUUACUCCCAUUUCCUUCCACAGUAGGCUUCCCUUUCUCUCUCUCUAUUUUUCUUUUCAUUUUCUCAUCUGCAAUUUUCCAACUUGCUAAGACCUAUAUUUUCCUCCCCCUCUCUCUCUCUCUCUCUCUCUCUCUCUCUCUCUCUCUUUCUCCUCUCUCUCUCUCUUUCUCUCUCUCUCUUUCUCUCUCUCUCUCUCUUUCUCUCUCUCUCUCUCUCUCUCUCUCUCUCUCUAUUUUUCUUUUCAUUUUCUCAUCUGCAAUUUUCCAACUUGCUAAGACCUAUAUUUUUCCUCCUCCCUCUCUCUCUCUCUCUCUCUCUCUCUCUCUCUCUCUCUCCCCUGCUUUCUCACUUUCUCUUUCUCUCUCUCCAAAGAAAUGUACAAAUUGUCACCAUUUAUUUCUUCCUCCCCUCAUAGAAUAUCUUCCACUGUUUGAACGAUUUGUCUGCCUACGACUAUUACGAAAAACAGUUGUCCCAAGUUCCAUGCAGUGGGAAUGAACUUGAGGCCAUAGGGUUGGAAAGUAAACUUUUUAACUGCACAGCCAUAUAUACUCAUAUAUGAAUGUAUCAAAACAGGGGACUGGGAAAGUUUUUGGCAUUAUUAAGUCACCAUUACAUGUGUUUCAUUUGCUGAUAGAAGUUACAAAAUUGUACAUGUAGAAGAAAUAUCUAAGAUAUCUCGCAUUGGAAAUUCUUCAAACGGAGAAUCAAAUAAUGAUUAUGAUGAUAAUACAUUUUGUGUGUGUGUGUGUCUGUGUGUGAGAGAGAGAGUUUGGAGUGAGUGUGUCUGUGUGUGGGAUGAGUGUGUGUGUGUAUGUGAGAGUGGGGGUGUGGGUGUCAGUGGGUGUGGCUGUGUGAGUGUGUCUGUGUGGGGGUGAGUGUGUGUAUGCAUGUGUGAGUGUGUGUGCCAGUGGGUGUGGGCAUGGAUGUGUGAGAGUGUGUGUGUGUCUGUGUGAGUGUGUGUAAGGCAUAUAUAUGUUUGGAUGGCAUUUAUGGUAAGUAUUUAUAUACACCAACACACAUUAUAUAUUUCUUUAAUUGUUCACUGCAGUAAAUUAACAUUAUUGUCCUUGAAUUUAUUCGUAAAAUUUAUUAGUUUAUAUCAAUAUUGAUCAAUUAAUUUUAACGAAUUAUUUACUCUUAACAAAAGUGUUUGAUUCUUAAUUAAGAUAAUUUUGUUUUAAUAUGAAAGUUUGGUAUUGAUCGAAUACUACAUGGUUGAUCAAGAUUCUAUAUUUGUGUAUGUAUACCUACACACAUAUACACACAUACACACACACACAUAUAUAAAUAUAUUUAUCUUUUAUCUUUUACUGGUUUCUGCCAGAGGCUGAGGCCAUGCUAGAGCACCAUCUUUGAGUUUGUUUGGGUUUCUUUUCUGUAGUGUUUUUGGGGAAGUGGUGAAUUAGACAGAGAUGCUCUUCUCUGUGUUGUUUCCUGCCAUGAUGUGGGUUUAUCUGGUACCUUAGAUGGAAAUCUGUCUUGACACUCUUUGAAGAACUCCACAUCUACACUUCAAAAAUUUCUGAGGUUGUCUUGCAGAAUGUUGAGCAGUUGUGGACCUUCAAAACCCAAAAUGUUACAGUACUGGUUCCUUAUUCUAGAUGGAGUAUCAGACUCGCAGGCGAGGGAUUGUGAGUUCGAAUCUCAGACUGGGUGAUGUGUGUGUUUAUGAGCAAAACACCUAAGCUCCAUGCAGCUCCAGCAGAAGGUAAUGGUGAACUUCUGCUGACUCUUUCACCACAACUUUCUCUCACUCUUUCCUCCUGAAUCUUACAGCUCACCUGCGAUGGACUGGCGUCCCAUCCAGGUGGGGAACCUAUAUGCCAAGGAAAGCGGGAAACCAGCCCUGUGAGCCAGGCGUGGCUCGAGAAGGAACAAACAAUAUAUAUAUAUAUAUAUAUAUAUACACACACACACAUAUCUAUAUAUCACUAUCACUAUUGACCAGACUAUCAAUGUACAGCGAUGUAUUGCUGUACAUCGAUGGUCACAAUACACUUCCUUGCAUUGUUGUAGCAUUCAAUUGAUGCCACCCCACUGUGAAGGAGGGAGGUCAUAUUUAUAUAUACAUAUAUAGCAAUGUGAUAGUGUAGAUUAAAACGUUUGCUUCACUUCCACAAGGUCUCUGGUUCAAUCCCAAGGCAUGCCAUUUUGGGAAAAUGUCGUUCUCUAGAGAUUCAGGUCAACUCAUAACGUGUUCAUGAAAUUGGGUUGAUGAAAACUGCAUGGAAGCCUGUCAGAUGGAUUGUAUCUUUAAUUCAAAAGGUACACUCUUGUUAUAUUCUCUGAAGACUACACAUGUCUAUGGAAUACUCAACCAAUUUCAUAGCAAUUUAAUGGGAAAGUAAUUCAGCUGAUUGAACAAGUGAAUCUUCAUAGUCAAAUGACAGCCAUCUGUCACUAAUAUUACUGUAAUACAGGACAGCACAUCCUUCACAAUAGCUUUUACAGCCAUACGAGACCUAGACAUUCACUCAAUGUAUAAGAGAGAGAGAAAAAAAACUAUUUCGCAUCAAAGAAUAAAUACAAAGAAAUAACCCUGACAAGGAUUGUAAAAAUAUCCAAGAGGUACUUCUGGAUAGUUCUUGGGGUCACCAAAUAAUUCAGCAAUUAAAAUAAUACACACGAUCAACCUAGGUUUAAUUUUAAAUGCUGCUAAAGAGUAAAUGAUAUAAAUGUUUGAAAAAUCCUUUGAGCAAAAUGCAAGGUGAGGCAUUGGGCAGAAUAUGGAGGGGUGAUGUCAUAAAAAGGAAAACAAAAAGAAAAAAUAUGAGGCGGUAUCUAAAAUUUCCCAGACUAGUUCUGUAGCGCACCAAUAGAUGGCAGCACAUGGUUGCAUGUGCAGUGAGAGCUGGCAGUGACCUUCAUGAGACAAGCUGUUGAGUGACAUUGCUCUGUUGACAUCGCUAGUUGUGAAAUUUGUGUGUUUGUGAUCACACAAUUGUGAUACUAUGCUGUAGUCUGUGAUUUUGUCGUGGAUAGGAACAAAGAGCCAACACGGAAUUUUGUGUUAAACUUGGGAAGUCUGCCACAGACACAUGGAGUAUACAUGGGGAAGCUUACAGCGAUAAAGCAAUGGGUCAUACGCAAGGUUUCAAGGGGCACAGGUGCUUCAAAGGUGGAAGAGUGUCUCUGGAAGACGAUGAGCAAUGUGGAAGACCUGCCAUGAGCAUCACCCUUGGAAAUGUGAUAUUGUGCAUUGAGAAUUCAUCCCCCAGGGCCAGACUGUUGAUCGAGAGUACUACUGCAAUGUUUUGAGGGAGGGACAUUUGGCAAAAACGAAUGGAUCUGUGGAACACGAAGAACUGGAUUUUUCACAAUGACAAUGCACCCUGGCACCGAGCUCUCCCCACUCAUGAGUUUCUUGCCAAAAACAACAUGGUAUCACUUCUGCACCCAUCCUAUUCACCAAGUUUUAGCACCUGUGGACUUUCAUCUCUUCCCCAAGAUGAAAAUGCAGCUCAAAGGUCACCAUUUUAACACCAUUGUCAAGAUCCAGAGGGAAUCACGGAAAGCCCUCACCACACUUACGGAAAACGACUUCCAGGCUGGAUUCCAAAAGUCGCAGGAAUACUGGGACCAGUGUAUUGCUGCGCAAGGGGACUAUUUUGGAGGAGAUGAUGUUACAACUUAGGUAAAUAAGUUAAAUUUUGUGCUAAACAUAACCAGUCGUGGAACCUUUUGAUACCACCUCAUAUAUUGUAUUACCUGGUGUAGGUUGUUUAACCCUUUUGAUACCACCUCAUAUAUUGUAUUACCUGGUGUAGGUUGUUUAACCCUUUUGAUACCACCCCCUCUGUGACUCAUUCUCUUUCUCAUACAAACUUCCUGUUUAAAAUCAUCUAAAUCAACACCUUCCAUCGGAAUUUAUGUCCCAAAGACCUGCUUAACAAUGACAAACUCAUUCUACUGAAUUCUUUGUUAUUUCUAAAAUUAAUUGAAAUAAAGGUGAGCAGGGCGACCUGCUGUGCUUGAGGAGACCUAUUGAGUCAAGUACAUCAACAUCAAAAAAUCAAAUGGAAAUUGUAGUUGUGAUACCUGUGCCGGUGGCACGUAAAAAGCACCAUCCGAAUAUGGCCGAUGCCAGCACCGCCUUGACUGGCUUCCAUGACAGUGGCACGUAAAAGCACAAACCGAUCGUGGAUGUUUGCCAGCUUCCCCUGGCACCUGUGCUGGUGACACGUAAAAAGCACCCACUACACUCUUGGAGUGGUUGGCGUUAGGAAGGGCAUCCAGCUGUAGAAACAUUGCCAGAUCAGACUGGAGCUUGGUGCAGCUUCCUGGCUUCCCAGAUCCCCGGUCGAACCGUCCAACCCAUGCUAGCAUGGAAAACGGACAUUAAACGAUGAUGAGGAGGAGGAGGAUGAAAGGCAGUGUAUUUGAAGAGAAAUAUGAUAACAAAAAGCUUAGUGAUUUUAUAGUAUUUUGGGAAAGAUUUCCUUUUUUCAAAAAGAAGAAAGAAAAUAAUCAAAACAUUUGGAGAAACGUGUUGUCAGACGUUUCUAGUGUGUAAUCUGCUAAAAGACUGUUUUAGACAUGCCCCCUAUUCAUGUAAAAAAUGAUAAUAAUGAAUAUUUCUAAGAAUAUAAAACCCUUUCUACCCAAGAAGUAGUACAUAAAAUAUUAACUCAUGAUCAGAAGCUUUAAACUGCUUGAAAUAUAUUCAAACUAGAUUAUUUAAAUGAGUAUUUAUGUGGGAGUGACAGACACUGGUAAAGCAUUUCUGUUUAAAGCUAAACCAAGCAAUGGGGUAAAUAUCCCCAUUCUAUAGCCAUUGGGUAUAGAUUUAGUAGCUGAGGAGGAAAUGGGGCAAUAUUUAGAUAUCAAGUGAGAUCAUGGAGCAAUGAAGGGGAAUAUUUAGAUAUCAGGUGAAGUAAUGGAGAAAUAGCAUCACUUGUUUUACAUCCAUUUUCCAUGCUGGCAAGGGUUGGACGGUUUGACAGGAGCUGACCAGCUGAAGAGCUGUCCGAGCUCCUUGUCUGUUUUGGCAUGGUUUCUACAGCUAGAUGCCUUUUCUGAUACCAACCACUUUAUAGAGUGGACUUUGUCUUCCUGCACAGCUGCUUUUAUAUGGCACUGACACGGGUGCUUUCAAGCCUUGCCAUGUCCUCAAUAGUCACAGCCCAUCUUACACUGCCAUGUAGUAUAAGUGUUCAUACACAGGCAUCAUGCAAUCUGCCUUUCACUCUGAGGGAGAGACCCUUUGUUACACAGAUAAUAGCUUACACAGGUAAUAGUUACAGAGGUAAUUGUUACAGGGGUAAUAGCUUUCUGAACUUCACCCAGCCUAUUUUUAUUCUAGCAGCUAUGCUUUCAGAACAACUUCCACCACUGGUAACCAGGUCACCUAAGUAACAGAAGCUGUCUACUACUUCCAAGGAUCCACCCCACCACUGAUAUUUGAGGGAGUCUAUAUCCUGUACAUUUCUGGUGCUUAAUGUACCAGUACAUCUGCCAUGUGUGAAGAGCUGCUUUCAACACCAUUUUACAUGGUUUAUAAAUCAGGACACACUUAUUAGUGAUGCUAGUGUCAUGUAACGGGCACCCAUGCCGGUGACAUGCAAAAAGCCAGUGGCACAUAAAAAGCACCCGUUAUACUCUUGGAGUGGUAGGCAUGAGGAAGGGCAUCCAGCCAUAGAAACCAUGCCAGAGCAGAUUGGGACCUGGUGUGACCCUACAGCUUACCAGUUUCAGCCAAACUGUCCAACCCAUGCCAGCAUGGAAAACAGAUGCUAAAUGAUGAUGAUGAUGAUGAUGAUGAUGAUGAUGAGCGUUCUUACAUGGUACUGGUCCAGGACUUUCACAGGCCAAUCCUCCUCAACAGGGCGAAUGGCCUUAACACUUUUGCGGUGGAGGACAGAUCUUUUUGAGUACAGCAAAGUGCCAGGUAUCCUGGUCCUUUGUCGUCUCAUCUGAAAUGUUCAGCAUCUUGAGGUCACCCAUCAGUACUUCAUCUGGCUCUCCCUCUUCCACGUGUUCCAUCUACUUUGAGGGAUCACCACUUCUUUAUGGAGCUGUCAGCAUCCAUCCACAUCACAUGAGCAAACCAGUGCAGUCUCCUCUCUUGCACACUACCUCUAAUUCCUCUUAUGCCUAAUUUCUCUUUCAUCAUCAUCAUCAUCAUCAAUAUUUUAAUUCCCGCAUUUCUGUGCUUGCAUAGGUCUGAGGCAAUUUGUUAGGGAGGAUUUUUAUGGCCAGAUACCCUUUCCCUCACCAACCCUCACCUGUUUACAAGUAAGUUAAUAUUCCUCCAUGGCCAGACAUGUUUUUGUGGAAGAUUGGAAACAAAGGAUACCACUUGCAAUUCUAUCUACAACUAUUAUGUAAUGUCAAGGCAAGAAGACAGUAAAACACACACACACACACACACACAUAAACACACUCACACAAAAAAACACACAAACACACACACACACACAAAUACAAACACACACACACAAACACAUAUAAACUGAAAAAACCCCGUCGUUUAUACAUACAUAUGUAAAUACAUACAUACAUGCGUACGUACAUACGUACAUAAGUACAUACGUACGUACAUGCAUGCAUGCAUAUAUAAACAAUGGGCUUCUUUCAGUUUCUGAAUACAAAACCCACUGACAAGCCUUUGGUUGGAUCAGAGCUAUAACAGAAGACACUUACACAAAGAGCCACACAGUGGGACUGAACCCCAAACCCUUUGGUUGAGAAGUAAAUUUCUUACUGCACAACCAUGCCUGUGCCUAUAUAUAUAUGUAUAUAUAUAUAUAUAUAUAUAUAUGCAUGUAUGUAUGUUUAUGGGUAACUUUGUGUUGACAUAUCAUGAUUGUUGUAAACAAGCAUCACCAGCAUACAAGCAACGUUAUUCAUUCAUUUCCAAUCUUUUGUGAGAAACAUGCCUAGACAUUGGGAAAUAUUACAUUGUUUGGAAAGAGAUGAGGGUUAGCAACAGGAAAGGCUUCCAGCCUCAAGAAUUCUGUUCAACCCAUGCAAGCACAGAAAAGUAGAUGUGAAAAACAAUGAUGAUGAUGAUGAUGAUGAUUUGUAAUAUGUUGAGGUACCUGAAGCUUGGAUUCCGACUAUAAAAUACUAUUUUAAAUUUUAGAUGCCAAAAUCCAGCACAAAGUCGCAGGGAAUUUAACAGAUGAAAAGGAAAAUGAAAAAGAAAGAAAAUAUUUUGUCUAAAGUCCAACCUAUUUUGAUGUUUUUUUUCCUUCUUUUCAAAAUAAAAUGUGAAAUUAAUGACAAAUAUCCUUGGUGUCUGUCAACUUUCUUAUUUUCUACUAAAGUGAAACUUCUUUUGUGGUGAUAAUUUUACAUACAUAUGUGUGUAUAUGUAUAUAUAUAUAUGUAUGUGUAUAUAUAUAUGUAAUCUUUUCCUCAGAUUUUUAUCUCUUCUUUGAUAAAAUGUUCUAAAGAUCAUUUUAAAUUUGCUGGAAAUAAGGGUAAAUAUUUCCCUCACACAGCACAAUCUGACAAAUGGCCUUUCUUUCUUUCUGUAGACAAACAAAACGGAGAAAGAGGAUAAAUCUCCUAGUGAUGACUCAAAGAAGAAAAACUGUUUACUGCAAUAGAUUUGAUCAAGUAGAACUGUUAUAUUUGUAAUCCGAAAUGGAAUUAUCUGGAAAUGUUUCAAUUUUUUUAAAAAUAAAAACUCUGUUUCAAA
rnacentral:lncRNA from 1 species